rnacentral:lncRNA from 1 species
AACAAAGUCCAGAUAUCAAUCUCCCAGUUCCAUGAAAUCAGCAAUGUCCUGCAAAUCACAAAAUUUCCAGCAUCAAUUCCCAAAAUCUUGCCUUCAAUUAAUUGGUCCUCUCCAAUGAUACACUAGCACAAACAAGACAAAGAAAAAAAAGAUCAACAGGAGAAGAACCAGAGAGCUUCUCAUUUUGCACGGCCAAGAACAUCAAGAACAGAACCUCUUGCUCAACCCUUACAGCCUUACACCACUAUUCUAAUCUUUUUCUUAUUCCCCAAUCUCCCGAACAAAAACCUAGCCUAGCCAUACUCAAAUCGACAACAACCUUACUCCCACACCAGCAAAAACCACGAGCACCACCCCCCAGGACAACAUCGUGAUCUGCCACACCCUAAACCAAUAGCCCCUAUCUUCCUCUUGAAAUUGAAAUAAAACCAGCUGUUUUGUUUGUGUGAUUUUUUGGGUUUUGCAGGUAGCGUUAAAUCUCACUGUCAGUCAAAGAAGAAAGAUGGGUUGUCUCUGAUCCCGAUCCGUCAGUUUUCCUUUCUCACCGACGACUGGCCGCCAUUGAUCUUGCACUUCUCGUUCACUUCCAACAGCUCCUCUGACCAUCCAAAUCUUGUCCAGUAUCUUUCGGAAGGUCUCCUGCAAAUUUUUAUGUGUUAUGAUUGUUAUUGGAUGGUGAUAAUUGUAAAUAUGUGUUUAUAGAG